AUUAUUAUUUGCACAUUCCUGGUGAAUUUGGAUUAAUUUUGAAUCAUUUUUAAAAUAUAAUCGAAUUGGUAAAGUUAAUAUAAUUUUUUACUUUGGUUUCAUAUAAGUUAAUAAAAUUAGAUUAAAAAUAUUUGUAAAUAACCAAAAUAUCUAUUUACUUAAGUGAACAAGUUAACUUGUUUACGAAUAAAUUUUAACUCUCUAAGACGUAUUAUGAUUAAAUGAGUAUUACAUAAAUUUUAAACUGACCAAUUAAAUUAUAAGUUUUAAUAUUAAAAAGCAAUUCAAAUUGUUUAUCAAAAACAUUUAAUAUAAAUUAUUAUAAGCUCUGCUCGGUGAAUAUUUAACAGCAGUUUUAGCGUGAUUACUCGAAGGUAGCAAAAUCCAUAGAUCUUUAAAAAAGCUCUCGACUGAAUGAGUCCCUUGGGUUGUUUUUUUAAAACUAUAAAUUUAAAAAUUAAACGUAAUUUGAAAAUUAAUUACUUAUGUUUAAUUACGAGAAGACCCUAGGAAUUUAGUUAACAUUUAAAAACUUUUAGUUGGGUCCUAAAGUUAUAUUAUAUAGUUAAACUUUAUUUAAUUUUGGUUAAAUUACCCUAGUGAUAACAGCUGAAUUAAUUUUUAUUGUUAAAAUCUUUAAAAUAAAUCUGACCUCGAUGUUGACUUAAUAAAAAUAUUAAUAACUACAGGAUUAAUAUAAACAAACUGUUCGUUUUUUGAAAUUGUGAGCUGAGUUCAAAACACUGUGAAGUAGUUUGGUUUCUUUAAUAAACACAAUAAAAUUUAUUUAUUUAGUACGAAAGGAUUUUUAAAUAUUUAAA
rnacentral:rRNA from 1 species